rnacentral:rRNA from 1 species
UUACUAGAGCAAAGGAUAGACAGCACCCGCGGAGCUCGCUCCCGGGGCUACCCUACUCCGGUAGGGUUUAGAGUCGUCGGGCCUCUCGCAGAAGCUCGGUCCUGAACUCCACCCUUGAAUAAACUACCUUUGUUGCUUUGGCGGGCCGCCUCGUGCCAGCGGCUUCGGCUGUUGAGUGCCCGCCAGAGGACCACAACUCUUGUUUUUAGUGAUGUCUGAGUACUAUAUAAUAGUUAAAACUUUCAACAACGGAUCUCUUGGUUCUGGCAUCGAUGAAGAACGCAGCGAAAUGCGAUAAGUAAUGUGAAUUGCAGAAUUCAGUGAAUCAUCGAAUCUUUGAACGCACAUUGCGCCCUCUGGUAUUCCGGGGGGCAUGCCUGUUCGAGCGUCAUUAUAACCACUCAAGCUCUCGCUUGGUAUUGGGGUUCGCGGUUUCGCGGCUCCUAAAAUCAGUGGCGGUGCCUAUCGGCUCUACGCGUAGUAAUACUCCUCGCGAUUGAGUCCGGUAGGUCUACUUGCCAGCAACCCCUAAUUUUUUUAAGGUUGACCUCGGAUCAGGUAGGGAUACCCGCUGAACUUAAGCAUAUCAAUAAGCGGAGGAAAAGAAACCAACAGGGAUUACCUCAGUAACGGCGAGUGAAGCGGUAACAGCUCAAAUUUGAAAGCUGGCUCUUUUAGGGUCCGCGUUGUAAUUUGUAGAAGAUGCUUCGGGUGUGGCCCCGGUCUAAGUUCCUUGGAACAGGACGUCAUAGAGGG